CAGCCGCCGCGGUAAUACCGGCGGCCCGAGUGGCGGCCACUAUUAUUGGGCCUAAAGCGUCCGUAGCCGGGCUGGUAAGUCCUCCGGGAAAUCUGGUCGCUUAACGAUCAGACUUCCGGAGGAUACUGCUGGCCUAGGGACCGGGAGAGGCCGAGGGGAUUCCCGGGGUAGGGGUGAAAUCCUGUAAUCCCGGGAGGACCACCUGUGGCGAAGGCGCUCGGCUGGAACGGGUCCGACGGUGAGGGACGAAGGCCAGGGGAGCGAACCGGAUUAGAUACCCGGGUAGUCCUGGCGGUAAACGAUGCGGACUAGGUGUCGGGCAAGCUAAGGGCUUGUCCGGUGCCGCAGGGAAGCCGUUAAGUCCGCCGCCUGGGGAGUACGGCCGCAAGGCUGAAACUUAAAGGAAUUGGCGGG
rnacentral:rRNA from 1 species